CUCAAGGUUUUGCUCGCCUGAGGUAGAGUAUCUCAUGAUAAGCUGUAGACCACACUAUUUACCAAGAGAUUUUUCAUCUGUAUUUUUUCUAGCUGUCUAUAUACCACCACAAACCGAUGCUGGCACUAAGACCGCACUCAAUGAGCUGUAUAUGUCCAUAAGCAAACAGGAAAACGCUCAUCCAGAGGCAACGCUCCUAGUGGCCAGGGACUUCAAUGCAGGGAAACUCAAAUCCGUUUUACCUCAUUCCUACCACCAUGGCUCUAAGCCUCCAAAGGUGACCAUCCCUUCAGCGACUGAUUAGAGGUUGCUUAGCCCCGGGGAGGGCCUGGAUUUUGAUCCCAGUACCCAGUUUGGUUGUGGGUGGUUCUGUGUCCUUCAGAACCAUGGUUCUAAGCCUCCGAAGAUGACCAUCCCUUCAGCGACCUAUUGGUGGUUGUUUAGCCACGGGGAGGGCCUGGCUUUGAGCCCAUUCCCCAGCUCGGUCGUCCCCAUGUUUCCUCUCUGUUCUCCAGCCAGUUUCAUUUCUUCUGACCGAUUCGUAUCCGUUAUCCACCUGGGAGGGCCCCUAUCGGCCCAGCCUCUGGCCGGUGUUCUGACGGACGGUUCCUCCCGACCCAGGCGUUAUUCCCAUGACCUGCCGGGCAGCGUCCGGUAAACCAGUCUUUGGGUUCCGGGGGGAGUAUGGUCACAAAGCUGAAACUUCAAGGAACUGACGGAAGGGCACCACCAGGAGUGGAGCCUGCGGCUUAAUUUGACUCAACACGGGAAACCUCAUCUGGCCCGGACACGGAAAGGAUUGAUAGAUUGAUUGCUCUUUCUCGAUUCUGUGGGUGGUGGUGCAUGGCCGUUCUUAGUUGGUGGAGCGAUUUGUCUGGUUAAUUCCGAUAACGAAAAAGACUCCGGCAUGCUAACUAGUUAUGCGGCCCUGAGUGGUCGGCGUCCAACUUCUUAGAGGGACAAGUGGCGUUCAACCACACGAGAUUGAGCAAAAACAGAUCUGUGAUGCCCUUAGAUGUCCGGGGCUGCACGCGCGCCACACUGAGCGGAUCAGCGUGUGUCUAACCUUCGCCGAGAGGCUUGGGUAACCCGCUGAACCCCACUCAUGAUAGGGAUUGGAGAUUGCAAUUAUUACCCAUGAACGAGGAAUUCCCAGUAAGCACGGGUCAUAAGCUCGCGUUGAUUAAGUCCCUGCCCUUUGUACACACCGCCUGUCGCUACUACCGAUUGGAUGGUUUAGUGAGGUCCUCGGAUCGGCCCUGCCGAGGUUGGUCACGGCCCUGGCGGAGAGCCGAGAAGACGAUCAAACUUGACUGUCUAGAGGAAGUAAAAGUCGUAACACCUCUCCCUU
rnacentral:rRNA from 1 species